rnacentral:sRNA from 1 species
GCUCGGCUCGCAGGAUGGAUCCCGUACCCGGGACAGACUCGGCGCCGCUGGCUGGCCUGGCCUGGUCGUCGGCCUCUGCACCCCCGCCGCGGGGGUUCAGCGCGAUCUCCUGCACCGUCGAGGGGGCACCCGCCAGCUUUGGCAAGAGCUUCGCGCAGAAAUCUGGCUACUUCCUGUGCCUUAGUUCUCUGGGCAGCCUAGAGAACCCGCAGGAGAACGUGGUGGCCGAUAUCCAGAUCGUGGUGGACAAGAGCCCCCUGCCGCUGGGCUUCUCCCCCGUCUGCGACCCCAUGGAUUCCAAGGCCUCUGUGUCCAAGAAGAAACGCAUGUGUGUGAAGCUGUUGCCCCUGGGAGCCGCGGACACGGCUGUGUUUGAUGUCCGGCUGAGUGGGAAGACCAAGACAGUGCCUGGAUACCUUCGAAUAGGGUAGGGCCACCCCCCAGUGUCUAGCCACCUUCCCUGCCCUCCCAACUCAUGAUCUCACCAAUCUGACCCUCAAGGACACCGCUGAGGUCUCCUGUUCCUUCUUCUACCUUCUGAGCCUCAGAUUCUGCAUGUUAAAACCGGGACAUAUAUAUCAUCUUGUAGGACUGUCAUUAGGAGUCAGUGACUUGGUGUCUAAAGUAGACAUAACAGGACUGGGCGCGGUGGCUCACGCCUGUAAUCCCAGCACUUUGGGAGGCUGAGGCGGGCCGAUCACAAGGUCAGGAGAUCGAGACCAUCCUGACUAACAUGUUGAAACCCCAUCUCUACUGAAAAUACAAAAAAUUAGCCGGGUAUGGUGGCACACGCCUGUAGUCCCAGCUACUUGGGAGGCUGAGGCAGGAAAAUCACUUGAACCUGGGAGGCGGAGGUUGCAGUGAGUUGAGAUCGCGCCACUGCACUCCAGUCUGGGGCGACAGAGCGAGACUCCAUCUCAAAAAUAAAAUAAAA